rnacentral:rRNA from 1 species
CCUACGGGCGGCAGCAGUGGGGAAUAUUGCACAAUGGGGGAAACCCUGAUGCAGCGACGCCGCGUGAGUGAAGAAGUAUUUCGGUAUGUAAAGCUCUAUCAGCAGGGAAGAAAAUGACGGUACCUGACUAAGAAGCCCCUGCUAACUACGUGCCAGCAGCCGCGGUAUUACGUAGGGGGCAAGCGUUAUCCGGAUGUACUGGGGGGAAAGUGAGCGUAGACGGCCUGACAAGUCAGAGGUGAAAGCCCAGGGCUCAACCCUGGGACUGCUUUUGAGACUGGCGGACUGGAGUGCAGGAGAGGUAAGCGGAAUUCCUAGUGUAGCGGUGAAAUGCGUAGAUAUUAGGAGGAACACCAGUGGCGAAGGCGGCUUACUGGACUGUAACUGACGUUGAGGCUCGAAAGCGUGGGGAGCAAACAGGAUUAGAUACCCUUGUAGUC